rnacentral:tRNA from 1 species
CGGGCUGUGGCGCAGCUUGGUAGCGCGCUUCGUUCGGGACGAAGAGGCCGCGAGUUCAAAUCUCGCCAGCCCGACCU